GACGGAUAUUACGACGCAUUUGUGCGUUCGAAAACGGUAGUUUUAAAAAAAAAAAAAAAUAAUAAAUACGUUUUUGAUACGAAAUAAUGUUUCGUGACCGUCGCACACGCGCACCGUGUGUCGAUUAUAUUAUUAUUUUUAUUAACAUUAUUAUUAUUUUUUAUUAUGUACGUGUUUACAUUUAUUUGAAUUUUUUGUCGUAUUUUUUUUAAAUUUUAAUUUUAAUUGUAUAGUUGUUGAAAACGUACCUCUCUCUCUCCCCCCCCCCAAAUUUCCGACAUUAUACGGAAUUUAUAACGGCCGUAUAUUAUGUUUUAUACGCGCUCGUUUGAUCCGAAAAAUAUUCACCGGGAAUCAAAACAAAAAAAAAAAAUAAAUUACCAUAGAACUGCCGGCGGCUCGGAAACGCGCGUACUCGUCCCGUCCUCGGGCCCCGUGCCGCGGUUUUGCCGCCGCUCGUGCGAAUUCGCCGACAACGUCGAAUCCGACACGGACGCAGCGCUAUGGUAAUCAAAUAAUUAAUGAACAUUAUAAUUAUCGCGCGUUUCAUUUAUUUUAUUAUUAUUGUACGUCCCCGCCCCCCGCCCCCGUCAUACACGUAUUACAUUUUGAUUUGUACGAAUUAUUAUUAUUAUUAUUUUUUUCGUUUUUCAACAACUAUUUUUUUUUUUUUUAUUACAACUAAAUAUUAUUAUUAUCAUUUAUUAUUAUUAUUAUUCUUAUUAUUAUUAUUAUUAUUAUUAUUAUCAUUAUUAUUGAUUAUUAUUAUUGAUUAUUAUUGAAUAUUGAUAUGAUUAUUAUUAUUGAUUAUUAUUAUUAUUAUUAUUACUCAUUGAUUUUUACUAUCGUAUCGUGUAUUGAACCGGUUUCAAACGUUUGUUACGUGUACACUGUAAAUAAUUUAUACGGAAAAGUUCGAAAAUUUGAAAACGACACCAACGCCGUCGUACCUAUUAUGAUAUAUGUUGUGUACCCCGUUGAUACGCGAUAAGAGAUUUUUUUUUUUUUUUUUUUUUAAAAAA